rnacentral:rRNA from 1 species
CGUAGGUGACCUGCGGAGGGAUCAUUACAAGUGACCCCGGUCUAACCACCGGGAUGUUCAUAACCCUUUGUUGUCCGACUCUGUUGCCUCCGGGGCGACCCUGCCUUCGGGCGGGGGCUCCGGGUGGACACUUCAAACUCUUGCGUAACUUUGCAGUCUGAGUAAACUUAAUUAAUAAAUUAAAACUUUUAACAACGGAUCUCUUGGUUCUGGCAUCGAUGAAGAACGCAGCGAAAUGCGAUAAGUAAUGUGAAUUGCAGAAUUCAGUGAAUCAUCGAAUCUUUGAACGCACAUUGCGCCCCCUGGUAUUCCGGGGGGCAUGCCUGUUCGAGCGUCAUUUCACCACUCAAGCCUCGCUUGGUAUUGGGCAACGCGGUCCGCCGCGUGCCUCAAAUCGACCGGCUGGGUCUUCUGUCCCCUAAGCGUUGUGGAAACUAUUCGCUAAAGGGUGCUCGGGAGGCUACGCCGUAAAACAAACCCAUUUCUAAGGUUGACCUCGGAUCAGGUAGGGAUACCCGCUGAACUUAAGCAUAUCAAUA